AUCCUCCAGAGCCAGCUAAAGCCUCAGAUGACAGCAGCCCUGGCCGAAAGCUUCAUGCACCCUCCUAAGAGACCCCAAGCCAGAGCCACCCAGUUAAACUGCUCCUGUAUUUCUGGCCUGAGGAAGCAGUAUGAGAUAAUGCUCAUUGAUACUUCAAGCUGGUGGUGCAAAAUUCGACAUCCACAAAACCCACCUGACCAGUGAUGGCUUGAAAUGGAAAAUGCAUAAAGCCAGAGGCAGUGAGGUAGAGCCUAAGAAGCUGGAAGGCACUUUGAGACUGUUCAUCGGGACAUACGGUGAG